rnacentral:misc_RNA from 1 species
UACAGAGGGUGCAAGCGUUAAUCGGAAUUACUGGGCGUAAAGCGUGCGCAGGCGGUGAUGUAAGACAGAUGUGAAAUCCCCGGGCUCAACCUGGGAACUGCAUUUGUGACUGCAUCGCUGGAGUGCGGCAGAGGGGGAUGGAUUUCCGCGUGUAGCAGUGAAAUGCGUAGAUAUGCGUAGGAACACCGAUGGCGAAGGCAAUCCUCUGGGCCUGCACUGACGCUCAUGCACGAAAGCGUGGGGAGCAAACAGG